rnacentral:SRP_RNA from 2 species
GCUGGGCAUGGUGGCUCAUGCCUGUAAUCCCAGCACUUUGGGAGGCCGAGGCAGGUGGAUCACUUGAGGUCAGGAGUUCUAGACCAGCCUGGCCAACAUGGUGAAACCCUGUCUCUA